AUAUUGUUGCGGAAGCGACGAUAAUAUUAAUAACAAUAUUAUCAGAAAUAUUUAGAUAAUUAUUAUGCCAAUAAUUAUACUAAGAAAAUUCCCAGUUAAAUUGGAGGGGUCACAAAUGGUCCCGCUUAAAACCCAACAACUAGACAGAACUCACUUAGAUAUUUAUAGCAAUAAUAACUAAAUAAAUAUAACCAACAUAAAGCUAUUAAAUAUAAGCAAACAAAUAAGAAAUAAAAUACCAGAGAUUUAACGAGGUUCGGCCAAUUUAGCUUACGUCCUCGGACACUACCAAAUUAAUAUUUCUUCUAGAAAUAUUACAAAGGAGAAGAUUUUGGGAUUAUAAAACCAAAGGGGGAGGGGUUCUAUAUAUAACAAACCAAACCCCCUCCCUUUCUAUCUUUUCCUAAUGUGGGAUAUUGCCAAUAUUCAACAAAUCUCCACCUUGGCGAUAUUCCACAUCUUCGAACAUCUUCUCAUAACACAAACUUCAAUAGUGUCUUCAAAUUUGAGCCAACGACGCCAUAUCAAAUGUGUCGGACAUUGAUCAAGUCUAAACAAUGUUCAAACUUGGCCCUUGUAACCACCUUAGUCAGCAUAUCUGCAGGAUUCUCCGUAGUGUGAAUCUUUUGGAGAAGUAUCUCCUCUUCUUCGAGAAUUUCCCGCACAAAGUGAUAGCGAACGUCUAUGUGCUUCGUUCGUGCAUGAAAAACUUGAUUCUUUGCUAAAUGAAUAGCACUCUGACUGUCAGAAUAUACCUUAAGUUGUUUCUGACCAACUUCCAAGUCUUUAAGCAAUCCAUGAAGCCAAAUUGCUUCCUUCACAGCCUCUGUAAUUGCCAUAUACUCUGCCUCUGUUGUAGACAAAGCCACCGUGGACUGUAAGGUAGAUUUCCAACUAACUGGCGCUUUCGCUAAAGUAAACAAAUAGCCAGUUGUAGACCGUCGCUUAUCCAAAUCACCUGCAUAAUUAGAAUCACAAUAUCCAACUAUGCAUUGACCAAAUGAUUCAUCCUGCUCGAAUGCCAAUCCGACAUCUAUGGUAUUUUGGAGAUACCGCAGAAUCCAUUUCACAGCUUGCCAAUGACCCCUGCCCGGAUCAUGCAUGUACCUGCUAACAACACUAACAGCCUGUGAAAUAUCUGGUCUUGUACAUACCAUUGCAUACAUCAAGCUUCCAACUGCAUUUGCAUAUGGGACUUUUGCCAUGUACUCUCGUUCUUCCUUAGUCGUUGGAGAUAACUGGUUACUUAGUUUAAAAUGAGGAGCAACUGGGGUACUUACAGGUUUUGUACCUUCAGACAUACCGAAACGUUGUAGUACCUUCUCCAAAUACUGUUUUUGUGACAGCCAAAGUUUGCCCCUCUUUCUAUCCCGAGUUAUUUCCAUGCCGAGAAUCUUCUUAGCUUCCCCUAAAUCCUUCAUCUCAAACUCUUUACUCAACUGAGCCUUCAGUCUAUCAAUCUCCAUUUGGCUCUUUGCUGCAAUCAGCAUAUCAUCAACAUACAAGAGUAAGUAGAUGUAGGAACUAUCUUGAAGCUUGCGCAAAUACACACAAUGAUCGUAUUUGCUUCUUUUGUACUUCUGGUCCUUCAUGAACCUGUCAAAUCGCUUGUACCAUUGUCUCGGAGAUUGUUUCAAUCCGUACAACGAUUUGCUAAGUUUACACACCCAAUUUUCUUUACCAGCAACCCUGUAUCCAUCUGGCUGAGUCAUAUAGAUUUCCUCCUUCAAAUCACCGUGUAGAAACGCGGUCUUCACAUCAAGUUGAGCUAGCUCCAAAUUCAACUGCGCUACCAAGGCCAACAAAAUUCUAAUGGAGGAAUGUUUAACAACUGGAGAAGAUACCUCAUUAUAGUUAAUUCCCUCCUUCUGAGCGUAGCCUUUAGCCACUAACCUUGCCUUGUAACGAACAUCUUCUUUGUCGGGAAAUCCUUCUUUCUUUGCAAAUACCCAUUUGCAACCAAUCGCCUUCUUCCCUUUUGGUAGUUGUGCCAACUUCCACGUCUUGUUUUUUUUCUAGAGAUUGCAUUUCCUCUUCCAUUGCACCUAACCAUCUAUUAUUCUCUAAACUCUGAAUGGCUUCGGUGUAAGUGGAUGGAAUAUUAUCAACAACUGGAAGUGCAUAAGCUACCAUGUUAGUGAAACGAGCUGGUUUCUGAAUUUCUCGUCUCUGCCUUCUGACUGCAAUUGGCUCUGAUUGCUGUUGAGGUUCUUGGGUAGAAACCUCUUCCUCAUCUGACUCUGCAUCUGCCAAUGAAGAAUCACUAGUGGUACCUUCUGCUGGAAUUACCACACUCUGCUCAAACUCCACCUGCUGCGGAGUACACUCCACCUGCUGCGAAGUACUACUCACUCCUUCUGGAUUUACCUUAUUCAACAUGGCAGAUUCAUGAAAGGUAACAUCCCUACUGAUUAUCGUCUUCUUUGCCUCUAGACACCACAAACGAUAUCCCUUAACACCAGUAUUGAAGCCCAUGAAUAGAGCCUUCUUUUCCCUUGGAUCUAACUUUGAUUCUUUCACAUGAUAAUAUGCAAUAGAACCAAAAAUGCGCAAGGUGUCAUAAUCAGUAGCAGGUUUUCCAUACCAUUUCUCCAAAGGAGUCUUGCCAUUUAUAGCAGAUGAUGGCAAAUGAUUGAUGAGAUGUUGAGCGUACGUCACAGCCUCAGCCCAAAACUUUCUAUCUAAUCCAGCAUUAGAUAACAUACAUCGAACUUUCUCCACAAGCGUUCGAUUCAUACGCUCUGCCACCCCAUUCUGUUGCGGUGUUCCACCUACGGUGAAGUGCCUUACUAUGCCACAAUCUUGGCAUAUCUUCAGGAAUGGAUCGCUUUUAUAUUCUCCACCGUUGUCUGAUCGGAGAACCUUAAUCUUCCUUCCUGUCUGAUUUUCAACUUUAGUUUUCCACUUAAGGAAAACUUCAAGCACCUCAUCUUUGUUCUUCAUAGGAAACACCCAAACUCGUCUGGAAAAAUCAUCAAUAAAGGUGACAAAAUAACAUCUUCCUCCAAGUGAUGGAGUCUUGGACGGUCCCCAUACAUCAGAAUGCACAUAAUCCAGAAUACCUUUAGUAUUGUGAAUCCCAGUGCCAAAUUUCACCCUUCGUUGUUUUCCCAGAACACAAUGCUCGCAAAAUUCAAGUUUGCAAGUCUUUGUACCUUUCAAUAAUCCUUGCUUGGCUAGAGUUUGCAAGGAUUUUUCACCAGCAUGGCCCAAACGCAUAUGCCACAGCUGUGUUGCCUCAGCGUCCUUCUUGGUACUCGAAAUUGCUGCUGCUGUUGUCCCGACCACUGUACUACCUUGGUAGUAAUACAGAUUGUUCUUUCUUAUGCCUUUCAACAUCACCAAUGCUCCUGAAGUUGCUUUAAGAACUCCAUCUCGUAUUGUCACAACUAGGCCUUUAGAUUCUAACGACCCCAAAGAGAUGAGAUUCUUCUUCAACUUUGGGACAUAUCGUACAUCCCGCAAAAUUCUAGUAGAUCCAUCAUGACUCCUUAGUUUAAUUGAACCUAUCCCGGCUAUUUUACAUGUGUUAUCAUUACCCAUGUAAACAACCCAUUUAUCUAGUUUUUGAAAUUCAAAGAACCAUUCCCGAAUGGGACACAUAUGAUAGGAACAACCAGAAUCCAUGAUCCACUCAUCUGCAUAUAAUGUUGAAGAUGUCAUACUAAGAGAAAAGUCUGACUCUGCUUCACUAUUGCAUUUUGCAACAUUUGCAUCUUGCGGAGUCUUCCCUUUUUUCUUCAAUUUUGGACAAUCUUUCUUCCAAUGUCCUUUUUCUUUGCAAAAGGAACAUUCAUCUUUGGCAACAGCUCGACCUUUGGACUUUCUUCUCUUCCCAUUAGACUGACUUUGCUGACGACCUCUUGUUACCAAUGCUUCCACUGCUGCUUCACCUGAACCUUUCAACUUAUCCUUUCGGCGUAGUUCAUAGCUAUACAAUGCAGCAGUUACUUCAUUGAAAGUUACUUCCGAUUUUCCAUGAAGUAGAGUAGUUUCAAGGUACUCAAACUCCUCAGGAAGCGAUCCCAACAACAUUAACGCCAAGUCUUCGUCUUCAAAAGUCACAUCCAAAUUCAACAAAUCAGCCACCAGCUGAUUAAAAUUGGUAAUGUGCUCGUUCAUCGUGGUACCAGGAACAUAAUUGAAACGAAACAGUCUUUUCUUCAUAUGCAACUUAUUUUGACUGUUCUUCUUCAAGAAUUUCUCCUCCAAUGCUUUCCACAAUUUACUUGCAGAAGUCUCUUUACUGAAUGUAUACUUCUGCUCUCUGGAAAGACAUGAUCGAAUUGUACCACAUGCCAAUCGGUUGAUGGUCUUCCAUUCUUUAUCAUCAACCCCUUCUGGUUUUUCUUCCUCAAUGACAAUAUCUAGACCCUGUUGAAAGAGGGCAUCUAGAAGCUCACUUUGCCACAUGCCAAAAUGACCUGUUCCAUCAAAAAUUUCCACUACAAAUCUCGUAUUUGCAGUUCCAAUCCUCGGCAAAAUGUACGAAGUGGAAGUUGUUGAUAUGGAUGGUUUUUCUUCUGUCAUUUUUGCCAUAGCUUCUACUUAAUAGCCACCAAAUGCAGAAUACCCACAAGCUUUAGGAAAUGUUUCUGAUGUGUAAGAUCAGACUAAGCUGCAAACACAGAGCAUACUACAAAACCUUGGCUCGGAUACCAAUUGUUGCGGAAGCGACGAUAAUAUUAAUAACAAUAUUAUCAGAAAUAUUUAGAUAAUUAUUAUGCCAACAAUUAUACUAAGAAAAUUCCCAGUUAAAUUGGAGGGGUCACAAAUGGUCCCGCUUAAAACCCAACAACUAGACAGAACUCACUUAGAUAUUUAUAGCAAUAAUAACUAAAUAAAUAUAACCAACAUAAAGCUAUUAAAUAUAAGCAAACAAAUAAGAAAUAAAAUACCAGAGAUUUAACGAGGUUCGGCCAAUUUAGCUUACGUCCUCGGACACUACCAAAUUAAUAUUUCUUCUAGAAAUAUUACAAAGGAGAAGAUUUUGGGAUUAUAAAACCAAAGGGGGAGGGGUUCUAUAUAUAACAAACCAAACCCCCUCCCUUUCUAUCUUUUCCUAAUGUGGGAUAUUGCCAAUAUUCAACAC
rnacentral:lncRNA from 1 species